UAAAGUUAAAUGUUGAAGUGAAGAGGAAUUAGACUGAAUAAUGCUACUGUUGGGGGCUUGUUUCGUUUUGUGAUUUUACAUCGAAAAUAUAAAUCGUGUCGUGUCGAAAAUAGCACUCGUGUCGUGGUAAUCUGCUUCUCUGCGGACUGCUUCUUAUUUUCCCGCUCAUUUUUAAUGGUGCAGCACACUAAAGGGUCCGACUAGAAUGUUAAGCCACGCACUUUGGUUCCACCUUUCGUGUCUGCAACUCUGCGCCACUGCGUAAUCUACGUUCGGAGGGGGGGCCACAGGGGGGGC